rnacentral:rRNA from 1 species
CAUGCAAGUCGAACGGCAGCACGGACUUCGGUCUGGUGGCGAGUGGCGAACGGGUGAGUAAUAUAUCGGAACGUAUCCAAUAAUGGGGGAUAACUAAUCGAAAGGUUGGCUAAUACCGCAUACGCCCUACGGGGGAAAGCAGGGGAUCUUCGGACCUUGCGUUAAUGGAGCGGCUGAUAUCUGAUUAGCUAGUUGGUGAGGUAAAGGCUCACCAAGGCGACGAUCAGUAGCUGGUCUGAGAGGACGACCAGCCACACUGGAACUGAGACACGGUCCAGACUCCUACGGGAGGCAGCAGUGGGGAAUUUUGGACAAUGGGCGCAAGCCUGAUCCAGCCAUUCCGCGUGAGUGAAGAAGGCCUUCGGGUUGUAAAGCUCUUUCGCAAGGGAAGAAAACUUACUUUUUAAUAAAGAGUGAGGUUGACGGUACCUUGAUAAGAAGCACCGGCUAACUACGUGCCAGCAGCCGCGGUAAUACGUAGGGUGCGAGCGUUAAUCGGAAUUACUGGGCGUAAAGCGUGCGCAGGCGGUUUUGUAAGUCAGAUGUGAAAUCCCCGAGCUCAACUUGGGAACUGCGUUUGAAACUACAAGACUAGAAUAUGUCAGAGGGGGGUAGAAUUCCACGUGUAGCAGUGAAAUGCGUAGAGAUGUGGAGGAAUACCAAUGGCGAAGGCAGCCCCCUGGGAUAAUAUUGACGCUCAUGCACGAAAGCGUGGGGAGCAAACAGGAUUAGAUACCCUGGUAGUCCACGCCCUAAACGAUGUCUACUAGUUGUUGGUGGAGUAAAAUCCAUGAGUAACGCAGCUAACGCGUGAAGUAGACCGCCUGGGGAGUAC